rnacentral:rRNA from 1 species
UACAGAGGGUGCAAGCGUUAAUCGGAAUUACUGGGCGUAAAGCGUGCGCAGACGGUUGCGUAAGUCAGAUGUGAAAGCCCCGGGCUCAACCUGGGGAUUGCAUUUGAGACUGCGUAGCUAGGGUGCGGAAGAGGGAAGCGGAAUUUCCGGUGUAGCGGUGAGAUGCGUAGAUAUCGGAAGGAACACCAGUGGCGAAAGCGGCUUCCUGGUCCAGCACCGACGUUCAGGCACGAAAGCGUGGGGAGCAAACAGG